rnacentral:rRNA from 1 species
AUUGAACGCUGGCGGCAGGCCUAACACCUGCAAGUCGAGCGGAGCGGCGGACGGGUGAGUAAUGCCUAGGAAUCUGCCUGUUAGUGGGGGAUAACGUCCGGAAACGGGCGCUAAUACCGCAUACUAUCAGAUUAGCCUAGGUCGGAUUAGCUAGUUGGGGGGGUAAAGGCCUACCAAGGCGACGAUCCCUAGCUGGUCUGAGAGGAUGACCAGCCACACUGGAACGGAGACACGGUCCAGACUCCUAGGGGAGGCAGGAGUGGGGAAUAUUGCAAAAUGGGCGCAAGCGUGAUGCAGCAAUGCCGCGUGUAUGAAGAAGGCCUGCGGGUUGUAAAGUACUUUCAGCGGGGAGGCGUUACCCGCAGAAGAAGCACCGGCUAACUCCGUGCCAGCAGCCGCGGUAAUAC